UACGGGGGGGGCAAGCGUUGUUCGGAAUUACUGGGCGUAAAGGGCUCGUAGGCGGCCAACUAAGUCAGACGUGAAAUCCCUCGGCUUAACCGGGGAACUGCAUUUGUGACUGCAUGGCUGGAGUGCGGCAGAGGGGAUGGAAUUCCGCGUGUAGCAGUGAAAUGCGUAGAUAUGCGGAGGAACACCGAUGGCGAAGGCAAUCCCCUGGGCCUGCACUGACGCUCAUGCACGAAAGCGUGGGGAGCAAACAGG
rnacentral:rRNA from 1 species